GCAGUUAAAAAGCUCGUAGUUGGAUUUCGGGCGGGUUUCGUCGGUCCGCCUCUGGUGUGCACUGCCGGGAUCCGCCUUUCUGUCGAGGACGGGCUCCUGGGCUUUACUGUCUGGGACUCGGGCUCGACGAGGUUACUUUGAGUAAAUUAGAGUGUUCAAAGCAGGCGAUCGCCCUGAAUACAUUAGCAUGGAAUAGCACGAUAGGACUCUGGCCUAUCUUGCUGGUCUGUAGGACCGGAGUAAUGAUUAAGAGGGACAGUCGGGGGCAUUCGUAUUUCAUUGUCAGAGGUGAAAUUCUUGGAUUUAUGAAAGACGAACUUCUGCGAAAGCAUUUGCCAAGGAUGUUUUCAUUGAUCAAGAACGAAAGUUGGGGGCUCGAAGACGAUUAGAUACCGUCGUAGUCUCAACCAUAAACGAUGCCGACCAGGGAUUGGCGAGCGUUCUUUUGAUGACCUCGCCAGCACCUUGAGAGAAAUCAGAGUCUUUGGGUUCCGGGGGGAGUAUGGUCGCAAGGCUGAAACUUAAAGGAAUUGACGGAAGGGCACCACCAGGCGUGGAACCUGCGGCUUAAUUUGACUCAACACGGGAAAACUUACCAGGUCCAGACACGAGGAUGAUUAACAGAUUGAGAGCUCUUUUUUGAUUUUGUGGGUGGUGGUGCAUGGCCGUUCUUAGUUGGUGGGUUGCCUUGUCAGGUUGAUUCCCGGUAGCGAACGAGACCUCAGCCUGCUAAAUAGUCACGCGUCCUUUUUGGAUGCGCCUGACUUCUUAGAGGGACUAUUACCGUUUAGGUAAUGGAAGUGUGAGGCAAUAACAGGUCUGUGAUGCCCUUUAGAUGUUCUGGGCCGCACGCGCGUUACACUGAUGCAUUCAACGAGCCUAUCCUUGGCCGAGAGGCCCGGGUAAUCUUUGAAACUGCAUCGUGAUGGGAUAGAUUA
rnacentral:rRNA from 1 species